rnacentral:rRNA from 1 species
GAACGAUGAACCACUUCGGUGGGGAUUAGUGGCGAACGGGUGAGUAACACGUGGGCAAUCUGCCCUGCACUCUGGGACAAGCCCUGGAAACGGGGUCUAAUACCGGAUACUGAUCUGCUUGGGCAUCCAAGUGGUUCGAAAGCUCCGGCGGUGCAGGAUGAGCCCGCGGCCUAUCAGCUUGUUGGUGAGGUAACGGCUCACCAAGGCGACGACGGGUAGCCGGCCUGAGAGGGCGACCGGCCACACUGGGACUGAGACACGGCCCAGACUCCUACGGGAGGCAGCAGUGGGGAAUAUUGCACAAUGGGCGAAAGCCUGAUGCAGCGACGCCGCGUGAGGGAUGACGGCCUUCGGGUUGUAAACCUCUUUCAGCAGGGAAGAAGCGAAAGUGACGGUACCUGCAGAAGAAGCGCCGGCUAACUACGUGCCAGCAGCCGCGGUAAUACGUAGGGCGCAAGCGUUGUCCGGAAUUAUUGGGCGUAAAGAGCUCGUAGGCGGCUUGUCGCGUCGGUUGUGAAAGCCCGGGGCUUAACCCCGGGUCUGCAGUCGAUACGGGCAGGCUAGAGUUCGGUAGGGGAGAUCGGAAUUCCUGGUGUAGCGGUGAAAUGCGCAGAUAUCAGGAGGAACACCGGUGGCGAAGGCGGAUCUCUGGGCCGAUACUGACGCUGAGGAGCGAAAGCGUGGGGAGCGAACAGGAUUAGAUACCCUGGUAGUCCACGCCGUAAACGGUGGGCACUAGGUGUGGGCAACAUUCCACGUUGUCCGUGCCGCAGCUAACGCAUUAAGUGCCCCGCCUGGGGAGU